UAUCAUUCUACUUUUUUUUAUGAUAUAUCAUAUGGCUUCCUAUAUUUGAGAACUCCACUGGAUUGUUCGACUGCAAUUAGAAUAAGACUCAAGAUGUUAUGCAGUUAUUCAAAGGAUUUUCCGAGAAUAUGAGAGAAUGAAAGAUGGAGGAAUAGCAAAGGAAAUCUUAUUUGGAGACUUGUUUGACCUUUUAUAGUCUGUCCCAAGAUAUUCAUGCAGCACAUUUGGACGAUUUUUAAUAAAAAUACACUUACCUGUGAAAGAAGUGCAAUUGAAAUAGUUGAAAGGGAUAUUUUCCAAGAUAAUUUCAUUGACACAUUAUCAUCUUUCACUCGGAAAAAUUCACAGGAACGAAAACAGAUUCCUUACGGAGAUUUAUAAUGGGGGAUGUUUACAUCUUUUCUCCAUUCGGAAUACACUCGGAAUACAUCGCGCAAUAUUUCAACGUUAUCAUCCGGGCUUACUGCAAUACAAAAUCUCCGUAGACAUCACAUUUUUUAGCAUUGUAUUGAAACCUGAUAAGCUAACAGGGGCGUUUUGACUGAGAAAUCUUGGAAAUUUUUCAUACUUUUGAAUGAACAUCGUUUGAAUCCUGAGGUUUUUAUAAAUAUCAAGCAAUUAAGCCAAAUGUGAAUCCAAAAUAUUUUGGGACAGAGUAUAGCAUUUUUAACCGGGUUUUCCAACUGAAAAAUCAGGUUAUUACAUUUAAAAUGGUGAAAAUGGCGGCCGGCUGCCAAAAGGAUACCCUCAUUGUACGGAUAAUUCCUCCUUCAGUUUUCAAGAUAUGAAGUUGUUCUUUUGCAGAUUAAUUGUACAUAUAUCAGAAAUGUGCAUAUUGCUAGGAUUUUGAUUUCUAAUAAUUUAUGAAAAAAAUACUAGCUUUGGAACUUGGACAUUUUUCGUUUGCGAAAUAUUGUAUACAGGGUACCCUCAUUGUACGGAUACAGUGUGUAACUUCUCCUACAAUUUUUAAGAUAGGAAGUUGUUCUUUUGCAGAUCAAUUGUACAUACAUGUAUAUUAUAAGAGGUGUGCAUAUUGCUAGAAUUUUGAUUUCUGAUAAUUGAUGGAAAAAAAACCCCAGCUUUUGAACUUCAUUUUUUGGCAAAAUAUUGCAAAUAGGGUACUCCAUUUCAUUGGAUACGGUAGGUAAGGUAGUGUUUAUCAAUUCAGGGUUGACAUGGAUUAUGGAUACAGUUAAAUAAAAGAAAACCCGGUUUGCGAUCACAUUGACAGCUUUUCACUUGUUUUAAAAUAUGUAAUCAUAUCUAUAUCAAUUAAUUUAUAUUCGAUUUAUGUACAUGUGCCAGUAUGUAUAUCCAAUAAAUAUUCUACAGAUGUAACUG
rnacentral:sRNA from 1 species